rfam:Trichobilharzia regenti genome assembly, scaffold: TRE_scaffold0004895
GUACUGCUGAAGAGUCCCAAACUAGGAUGAAACAGCUGUCUAGUAC